GUGGUGAUGGAAACCAUCCGAAGGAGUAGCACUGAACAGAGGCAGGGCCCACUCUUACAAACUUGUUGGCACAGAGCCUGAGAAUGAUUAACCUCUGAAGGAUCAGAGAUUUGAGUCUCUGCCCAGUAAGAAAACUCCACCAAUCUGGAUGGCAAAACUCUGAGUCCACAGGACACCAUUUCUAUGAUGGUGACAAUGGAAAUAAUUGUCUAAAUAUUUAAAGCUCCUCUGAGAUAUUAGAGCAAUUUCAGGCUUGGUGCAAGUCAGGAACAAAAGCUGGAAAUGAACUGGAGAGGUAACCCCCCUUUUCCUCCCACCUGCCAGUAUGAUGCCAACGGGAAAGGAAGCAAGAGGAACAAGGAUCAGGUGGCACAGCGAGAGGCUGAAAGGAGUCUGUGCAAGGGAAAUGAUUGCUAUUUAUGACUGCACAGCUA